AACGAACGCUGGCGGCAGGCCUAACACAUGCAAGUCGAACGAGAAGCCACCUUCGGGUGGUGGACAGUGGCAGACGGGUGAGUAACGCGUGGGAACGUGCCUUUCGGUUCGGGAUAACCCAGGGAAACUUGGGCUAAUACCGGAUACGCCCUACGGGGGAAAGAUUCAUCGCCGAAAGAUCGGCCCGCGUCGGAUUAGCUAGUUGGUAGGGUAAUGGCCUACCAAGGCGACGAUCCGUAGCUGGUCUGAGAGGAUGACCAGCCACACUGGGACUGAGACACGGCCCAGACUCCUACGGGAGGCAGCAGUGGGGAAUAUUGGACAAUGGGCGAAAGCCUGAUCCAGCCAUGCCGCGUGGGUGAAGAAGACCUUAGGGUUGUAAACCCCUUUCAGCGGGGAAGAUAAUGACGGUACCCGCAGAAGAAGUCCCGGCUAACUCCGUGCCAGCCGCCGCCGUAAUAC
rnacentral:rRNA from 1 species